AAACUUUCAACAAUGGAUCUCUUGGUUCCCGCAUCGAUGAAGAACGCAGCGAAAUGCGAUAACUAAUGUGAAUUGCAGAAUUCCGUGAAUCAUCGAGUCCUUGAACGCACAUUGCGCCCCCUGGUAUUCCGGGGGGCAUGCCUGUCCGAGCGUCAUU
rnacentral:rRNA from 1 species